rnacentral:rRNA from 1 species
UACGGGGGGGGCAAGCGUUGUUCGGAAUUACUGGGCGUAAAGGGCUCGUAGGCGGCCAACUAAGUCGGACGUGAAAUCCCCAGGCUCAACCUGGGAACUGCGUCCGAUACUGGAUGGCUUGAAUUCGGGAGAGGGAUGCAGAAUUCCAGGUGUAGCGGUGAAAUGCGCAGAUAUCGGGAGGAACACCGGUGGCGAAGGCGGUUCUCUGGGCCUGACCUGACGCUGAGGAGCGAAAGCGUGGGGAGCGAACAGG